AAAGGGGAAUUAAAAAGGAAAAUCCGAAAAGAGCGCAAGAAAAACCCCAUUCCCUCGCUUUCUCAUACCCUAAUCCAUCCCAAUUUGGGGAAGAAUUCAGAAAAAGCUCACUCCACUCAAUUCUUCCCCAAGUCGCUCCUCCUUCAUCCUCUUCCAACUUCCGAUUCCCUUCGCACUUCAUCGUUGCUCUCUCUCUCUCUCUCUCUCUCUCUCUCUCACGCACAUGCAUUUGGAUUUCGCAGAAAUCCUUAGCAACGAGACCGAUCAUCUGUCGAGGAAGUCGCUGCCGGCGAAGGAAGAUAGGAAAUGGCGAAGACGAAGCCCUUUCAGGGGGGCGAACGUGUUCGUGUCGAGGAACUUGAGUGCCUCCCGAGCUGUUCGACGCGCUCAAGCUGAACGGAGCUGAGGCCUUCCGUCUGCUGCGACCCUUCCAGGAGUGGGCCCCGCGAUUUUCACGCUGUUUCUUCUCCUCGAUCACGUCCGCAGUGUGUGGUGGUUUCGCGUGCGAAAGAACGGAGACCUCUACCUCAAAAAGGGUGUACUUGUUUGUCUUGCGAUGGAUGGUGUCGAAGUCCUUGCACCUGGAUUUGAGAUGGAUGAGGAGGUAUGCCUGUUCCUAGAUAAGCCUGGCCUUGUAUGAUUUUUUAGCAUGUAAUCUUUGUCGUAACUCGUCACUCAAAUUCAGCGUGGCGCAUCACUUAUACUUAUCCAUGUGUCCUUCUACGUGACCCCUUGAUUCUUUUGCCUUCAGACAUGCUUUUGUCUGAACAAAUAUGGUGGCAGCCUGUCGUCUCUCUUAUUGUUUCACCAUUUCCGUGAGUCUGCAGGCUGAGAUUGAGAAAUUGGUUACUUCAACGGGGGAAGCUCUACAGACCAAAACUUUAGCAGAUGUUAGCUUCGUAAUUGCGAAGAAUAUUUUGGCUGCAAAAUACAGGGUUUAGGUCUUGGAGUUAAUAAUUUGAAUUUAGUUUAAGAGUAACGAAUUUGUUGUAUCUUGUUAAGGUUAAAUUCACUUUAAAUGAGAUUAAUUAUGCUUUUUCACUGAGUAUGGGAAGCAUCAUGGGUAGUACUUUGAUUGAGUUGGCUGAACUUAGGAAGAGUUUCCUCCAUUUUUUUUUUUUUUUUUGAAUAUUCUCUGUGCAAAUUCUCUUAUGAAUCCCAUCUUGAGAGAUAAAUUGUAUUUAUCAAUUAAUGUUGUCAUCAUGCAGUGGGCUUUAAAUGUUCUGAAGUGACCUGUUGUCACCAUUAAUUGGUUAUACCAAUGCCGUAUUGAGCACCGUGUUGUACCUCAAGGGUCUUGUAGAGUUCUUCCAUUUUCUGGAUUGACAAUGAAUGUCACAAGAAUUCCUGCAGGUACUGAUUGUUUGAUAUAGCUGCUGCUGUUGGUUGUCCUCCAGUUCUUCAAUUUUUAUGUCCUUCAUGAUCUUAGACGCACGGAAGGAGAUUCAGAAGCAUAUUACACAAAAUGGUGGGAGAUAUUCUGCAGAAUUGACCAGGAAGUGCACUCAUUUAAUUGCAGAA